GGAUUAGAUACCCUGGUAGUCCACACCGUAAACGAUGAAUGCUAGUUGUCUGCGCGCAUGCGUGCAGGUGACGCAGCUAACGCAUUAAGCAUUCCGCCUGGGGAGUACGGCCGCAAGGUUAAAACUCAAAGAAAUUGACGGGGGCCCGCACAAGCGGUGGAGCAUGUGGUUUAAUUCGAAGCAACGCGCAGAACCUUACCCGCGUUUGACAUGCCCUGUUUGGUUACCAGAGAUGGUUUCCUUCAUUUAGUUGGCAGGUGCACAGGUGCUGCAUGGCUGUCGUCAGCUCGUGCUG
rnacentral:rRNA from 1 species